rnacentral:rRNA from 1 species
GACAGAGGGUGCAAACGUUGUUCGGAAUCACUGGCAUAAGCGCACGUAGGCGGCUGGGUCCGUCCGAUGUGAAAGCCCCGGCUCAACCGGGAAUUGCAUCGGAGACCGCCCGGCUCGAGGAUGGUUGGGUGAGUGGAACUCCGUGGUGGAGCGGUGAAAUGCGUAGAUAUCAGGAGGAACACCGGUGGCGAAAGCGGCUCACUGGACCAUCUCUGACGCUAAGGUGCGAAAGCUAGGGAGCAACGGG